ACGAACGCUGGCGGCGUGCUUAACACACGCAAGUCGAGCGGUAAGGCCCUUUCGGGGGUACGACGAGCGGCGAACGGGUGAGUAACACGUGGGUGACCUGCCCUUAGCUCUGGGAUAAGCCUGGGAAACGUAGGGUCUAAUACCGGAUAUGACUCCAUGACGCAUGUUGUGGGGUGGGAAAGCCUUGUGCGGCUAGGGAUGGGCCCGCGGCCUAUCAGCUUGUUGGUGGGGUGAUGGCCUACCAAGGCGACGACGGGUAGCCGGCCUGAGAGGGCGACCGGCCACACUGGGGACUGAGACACGGCCCAGACUCCUACGGGAGGGCAGCAGUGGGGAAUCUUGCGCAAUGGGCGAAAGCCUGACGCAGCGACGCCGCGUGGGGAUGAC
rnacentral:rRNA from 1 species